GACGAACGCUGGCGGCGUGCUUAACACAUGCAAGUCGAACGGAAAGGCCCUGCUUGCAGGGUACUCGAGUGGCGAACGGGUGAGUAACACGUGGGUGAUCUGCCCUGCACUUCGGGAUAAGCUUGGGAAACUGGGUCUAAUACCGGAUAGGAGCCAUCUUUAGUGUGGUGGUUGGAAAGUUUUUUCGGUGUAGGAUGAGCUCGCGGCCUAUCAGCUUGUUGGUGGGGUAAUGGCCUACCAAGGCGGCGACGGGUAGCCGGCCUGGGAGGGUGUACGGCCACAUUGGGACUGGGAUACGGCCCAGACUCCUACGGGGGGCAGCAGUGGGGAAUAUUGCACAAUGGGCGCAAGCCUGAUGCAGCGACGCCGCGUGGGGGAUGAAGGCCUUCGGGUUGUAAACUCCUUUCGCUAGGGACGAAGCUUUUUGUGACGGUACCUAGAUAAGAAGCACCGGCUAACUACGUG
rnacentral:rRNA from 1 species